GGUCCGGUGGUGUAGAGGUUAUCACAUCGUUCUUAUACCUGAGCUUUAAACACUCAAGAUAUGCGAGGGUCCCGGGUUCAAACCCCGGUCGGACCA